CCGACCGCGACGCCCGUACGCUCGGCGCCGCGACGCCCACCUCCGAACAUCGCGAAAAAAGUUUACACACGAAACUUUCCAAAAGACUUUCCUUUCAACCCGAACGUUGUUGAACUGGAACCGUCUACACCCUGCUAAAGCGCGAAGUGACCCUUCAGCAAACCGGAUCGGCAAUAUCACCCAAACGGGUUUAGUGUCGGACCCGGGACCCUGCCGUGCCAGGACUUUCGUGAAGUGCUAACUUGAUUUUCAGAGUGCAGUGUUCAGUGUAAGUGACUGGAUUUUCGAUCUUGUCCCAUUUAAGGAAGACUGGACUGAUUCAAGAACAGUUCUUAAGGUCGGCGACUGCAACCGUGCUGUUAAAAGUUUCAAGCAUGCCGCCCCCUGGUUCGUGAACAUGAGCAGCCGUCCGGCGGGGGGGCAGCGCUGCCAGCUGAUCCUGCAGCGUUGCCUCGCCAUCCACCUCGCCAAGCCCGGCAACGCGCCUGAUGACUUCUGGAUGUACGACUCUGGCUACUUGCUCUUCCAGAGUUUCCUGGCAGCAAACGCGAAAUGCUGGUGGGCUGGGGCGUUGGCCGCGGCGACGGCGGAGCUUCGAUACGCGGGAUACGUGGCCCCGGGAGUCCUCUUGGUCGCGGGGGCCCCAAGAGCCCUCGAGACCGUGCGCGGGGCCUACUCGCGCUCCGUGCUCAAGCCCCCACCGACUUACCUCAUCUGUGGACUUGGUGACAUAGAAGACUGCAUAGUAACACCAGCAUACCAGGGGCAGUUCACACCACUGCCUGAAGCGCUCUGUGACUGCAUCAUGGACCUAACGUCACAGGGGCAAUCAGCGACAUUGGAGAGCAUAAGAACAUCCCUGUCAGCGAAGUUCCCGGCAAUGCAGACGCCAUCACAGGAGGUGGUCUACGACACCCUGGCUCAACUGAUGCAGGAGCGCAAGAUAUACCAGACGUCUAGAGGGUUCUUCAUAGUCACGCCUGAACGCCGGCGCUCCCGGUCUCGCUCGUCUUCCCGGCACCACUCCAACGGCAUGGAAGAAGACUGCCCUUCCCCAAGGACCAUCCUGAUGUCGGAUCAGGAAGCUUUACACCAGCUCUAUGGGGAGAUCACCACCGUCAGAGAUGGAGCCGUCACGCACCAAUGCGUCCAGACUAAUUUGGCCGAUGUCAUUUGUGGUGGGAACCCAAACGACAAGAUACUCUACGGGCGGCCAAACAAGCGUCGCAGCGCGUCUUUCCCCGCCCCCCGCUCGCUGGACCGGCGCCACUCUCUCCGGAUCUUCGGCUCCUCGUCCAAAUACCUCCAGCGCUGCGCAUCCACCAGGAGUCUCCACCAUAAGCAUGCUAAUACAACCGACAGCUCGUCUUCCACCGAUUACCCGCCCAGCGUCGAAUCUGCAUCGCCUAAGAAAGUGUCCCUGCUGUCCCGCUUAUUCAGACGAAGCGGCCGCAGCAAACAGACGCGCGCGAUGAGCACAUUCUCUGCGCAGUUCCCGCCCACGGAGUGGUUCAACUCCAAGGCGGUGCACCUCCACUGUGUCGCCACGCAGACCAAUUCAAAGGAGUCGUUGCAGAGUCAAACAUCCUACGUGUCAUCGUAUUAUGACGGUUCAGAGAUCAGUAAUCGGUCGUCGACGCUGCCGCGGAGGCACAAGCGCCACCUCUCCACCGAGUCCGGCCUCGCAGGCUCUGUCCACUAUGACCAUUCGCCCAUCAGACAGUCCAGCCCUAGCUCCGGCAGUCUUCCACGGUCAACGCUGAGUAGAAGUUCCACCAACAAGACAAUCCUUGACCAUUUUGGAUCACCGCAACGGGGCAGUGACCCUAAACUCAGAGACAGCCCCAGCGGAAGCCUACGUAGGGUCGACUACUCCCAUUCAGAUCACAUAAUGUCCACCAGCGGACCAUCUAGCUUAGAAAGUACAACCACGCAACGCACACCUAGAAAGGACAAAACCCAAUCAGAUCAGAACUCGCCCAUGAAAAGGAGCUACCACACAAACAGCAGCAGUGGCCACUCCAGUUUAGAAUCGCACAUAUCAGAUCGCACACUGAAGCCUUCUCCUAGUCAUAACACGCAUAGCGCACCAGGUUUAAGCAGAGCACAAUCACUUGUCAAAGUUCAGAGCUUACAAAGCUCUCCAAAAAGUCUGCACAAAUACAGAACAAAACCACCCAUGGUUGGAGGCGAAACGGUAAAAAACGGUAAAAACACUUCACCCAAAACAUCGCCAAAAAACUGCCCGAGCACCCCAAAAAAAACCGCGACCCCUUUGCAUAAUAAAACAUUAGGAAACAAAGUUGAAAACCCUACAAUGAUGGCGACAUCCAAUUCGAAUAAUUCGAUCACUUUAAAAGUUACCACGAACACGAUAUCACAGAACGGCGGUACGAACACCAAAGUUUAUGUACAAAAUUCACCAGUAAGAUCCGUCAUCACGUUUGAGAAUGGUAAAGUCACGGAGACUAGCAACGGAAGCAACAUUUACAUCAUCAACGACGACAGACAAGUUGUGUCUGUCCAGAAUGGGGUUACGAAUCAAACGAGCAAGAAUCCGACCGAAACAUCGUUCGAUGUUUGUGUGGAGAAAAACAAACAGAAGUUCCAGGAACCGGAACCGAUUAAAGUUCAGGAAAAUAAAUUCAACAAGAAUUCGAUGAACGAUACGGGUAUGAACAACAAUCGGAAGCUCUCGUUGCAAAUAGGAGGCGCUGCUAAUAACAACAGCUUUAUUUACAAAAACCAGCUGAACAAUACAAACGAGGUCACGUCGAAUCCCGCUUCGCCGGCCAUCCAUAACAAUAUUCAUAACUUAGAAACCACAACCGCCAGCAAUCCAUCAACGCCCACGAAAAGCUACGACAAUAUCAUAGGCUCAUUGGGUAGUCUCAGAUAUCAAAAGAACUCAUUGUCUUCCACAAAUGGUGGACUGCAGGCAAAUAUAAAUUCGAACAGUGAAUUAAAAAGCGUUGAUUUAUUGAAGAAGGCUGCAGCAUUACAAAUGUUAAAUGGACUUCCGAACGUCAACAAUAGGAUGAGUUCUGAGUCGAUAGCGAACUUGUUAACUAAGGGUAUGGAUCAGAAACCUACGGUGUUGGGUUCGGAACCCAACUUAGCGCUUAAGAAUCAAGAACCUGUAAAGGAUAUUAACACGUCUACUGAGAAACUGAACUGCUUAGAGAAUAAGCAGAAGAGGUACAGCCUCAGUCAGGAGAGUAAAAAGGAGAACCAGGAUUUUUACAACUUCCCGAGCUUGAGCGAUUUGAGCUUUAAUUUUACUAGUUUAGCCGCUCAGAAGAUAUUGAAAGGGGUCAGUAUAAACAGUGUAGAUACGCUUGUCGAGCUCAACAUGGCAGCAAACAAUUCGGAGAAGCAAAACAACCGUGAGGUAGCUGCCGUCUGCACGGACUUCGGUCUUGUAUAGUAUCAUCUAACUAUUGUUAAUUUUGUUAAAAUGUACAAUAUUAGUGUUAACACAGAUGUAAGGUAGUUAGUUGUGUAACUUAUUCGUAACUACUUUAACAUGCUCUAGAUACGCACUACGUUUAGUUUGAACCUUGUACUCGUUUUUAGAUUUUGUACUCCCAAUUUAUCAAAUUAUCUUUUAAUACCUAUAUCCUUCUAAUGAAUUUGUUUGUCUACUAACUUAACGAGAAUAUCUUCUUAGAAAUUAUGUAACGCAGUAUUCAUAUUCCAUGUAAUCUUCGAGCCGUAUUCAGUAAAUUCUUAGUUUGUAGCUCAGAGGAGUUAACGGGACAAUAAAAUGUAUACCAUCAGGUGGCCUAAUAUUUGGAAAACUUAGUGCCUGAGUCAAUUGCAAUAAUGUAAUUUCGAUUUAAAUUUUAGCAGUAAUAACCUCACUAGUAGCACAUAUCUUCAUCACACUAAUAAUUCAUAAUUUUAAUUAGGAAAUGUUGCCCUGAUCAGCACCCACUCGUGCCAUCACCUCCAGUGAAGUUGAGUACAAACUAGAAUACAUCUCCAAUAAACAGAGUCCAUCCAAAACGGGAAUUUAUAGGAACAAUAUGUAAAAUGUAUGUCAUGUUUAAGUGCCAUAAAAACCAUAGUAUUACGCUUGAGGUCGGCGAACCAGGCAAAAGGAAUUGAUAAUGGUACAUUGGUCCGUUGUAACAAGAUUUGAGGUGGUGUGGCAGUUUUGUAGAAUAUCAACACAACUCAAACAUCACAAACAGAGAUGUGCUGUUCCUGAGAAUGUUCACAAGGUGGAAAUGUUCUCGUUGUAAAAACUCUUUAAUAAUAACGAUGCUGGCCGCUUCUUUCAAAUUGAUCUUUUUUGUACUCUGGUCUUAUUUGCCUAAAGGUUAGGUAAUGAAGGGUGGUAUUAAUAAACUAAUCUCUGCUUUGAGACUGCCCUCAAGAUCAUGUCAUGUGACAGUUCUUAUAUAAAAACAGCGACUUGAGCAUCAUCUUGAGGGCAGUCUCAGCUGAGAUUGAUUUGUUAAUACCACCCUAGGUUCUUUAUGCAUAAGUUUUGCGCAUUAUUACUGCCGAAAACGCUCCCAAAAUGGGAAAAUUCCCGGGAAUUGCACAUCACUGAUCACAAAGGAGUUUUAGAAACUUUACAAUGUACAGUCAUGAGCAAUAUCAUGUACCCACUUUAGAACCCUGUCGCACUAUCAUAUUUGACAUUUAGUGAGACUUACGGUUUAAUUUGUCAAAAAAUUAAUGUGACAUGGUUCCAAAGUGUAUCAUAUUAGUA
rnacentral:misc_RNA from 1 species